UACGUAGGGUGCGAGCGUUAAUCGGAAUUACUGGGCGUAAAGCGCGCGUAGGUGGCUCGAUAAGCCGGUUGUGAAAGCCCCGGGCUCAACCUGGGAACGGCAUCCGGAACUGGCGGGCUAGAGUGCAGGAGAGGGAGGUAGAAUUCCCGGUGUAGCGGUGAAAUGCGUAGAGAUCGGGAGGAAUACCAGUGGCGAAGGCGGCCUUCUGGACUGACACUGACGCUGAGGUGCGAAAGCGUCGGUAGCAAACAGG
rnacentral:misc_RNA from 1 species